CCUACGGGCGGCAGCAGUGGGGAAUAUUGCACAAUGGGGGAAACCCUGAUGCAGCGACGCCGCGUGAGUGAAGAAGUAAUUCGUUAUGUAAACCUCUGUCAGCAGGGAAGAACGGUCACUGUGCUAAUCAGCAGUGAAUUGACGGUACCUGCAAAGGAAGCACCGGCUAACUCCGUGCCAGCAGCCGCGGUAAUACGGAGGGUGCGAGCGUUAAUCGGAAUUACUGGGCGUAAAGCGCUCGUAGGCGGUAUGUCAAGUCAAGGGUGAAAUCCCCGCGCUCAACGUGGGAACUGCCUUUGAAACUGGCAAACUGGAGUGUGUGAGAGGAUAGUGGAAUUCCAGGUGUAGGAGUGAAAUCCGUAGAUAUCUGGAGGAACAUCAGUGGCGAAGGCGACUAUCUGGCACAUAACUGACGCUGAGGAGCGAAAGCGUGGGUAGCAAACAGGAUUAGAUACCCUAGUAGUC
rnacentral:rRNA from 1 species